rnacentral:misc_RNA from 1 species
UUUAUAUAUCUCAGGGAAGAAUGUCAAAUUAUACAGUGAAAGUUGAAGAAACCCGGCCAGCUUCUGACGGAAAGCCGUCAGCAGGGCCAGUUUAUAGGAAUAUUUAUGCUAAAGAUGGCCUCAUGGAAAUGCCUACUCGUUUUGAGUCACCUUGGGACUUCUUUAGUGAAUCAGUUAAGAAAAAUCCUAAAAAUCAAAUGCUGGGCCGCCGUCAGGUUGUUGACAAAAAGGCAGGUCCCUACAGUUGGCUAACAUAUGAGGAGGUUUAUGAAACCACAAUUAAGAUUGGUUCAGCCAUCCGAAAUCGUGGUGUUAAUCCGGGAGACCGGUGUGGCAUCUAUGGUGUGAACUGUCCUGAGUGGAUAAUGGCUAUGGAGGCUUGUAACAGCCAAGCAAUUUCAUAUGUACCACUCUAUGAUUCUCUUGGUGCAAAUGCAGUUGAAUUUAUCAUCAACCACGCUGAAGUUUCAAUAACUUUUGCCCAAGAAAGCAAGAUACCUGCUAUCUUAUCAUGCUUGUCUAAGUGCAAUUCUUAUCUAAAAACUAUCGUCAGCUUUGGAAACAUCUCAAGCACACAGAGAAGUGAAGCCGAGGAACAAGGAGUAGCUUGCUUCUCAUGGGAAGAGUUUGUUCAAAUGGGAAGUUUGGAUCCUGAACUUCCUCAGAAAAGGAAAACUGAUAUUUCCUCAAUUAUGUACACUAGUGGAACUACUGGAGAACCAAAAGGUGUCAUUCUGACUAAUGGUGCUUUCAUGGGAGAAGUUCUGUCGAUGGAUCAACUUCUCGUUGAAACAGACAAAGAGGGAACGGGGGAGGAUGUGUACUUUUCGUUCCUUCCACUUGCUCAUAUAUUUGAUCAAAUAAUUGAGACAUAUUGCAUAUACAGAGGUGCUUCAAUAGGAUUUUGGCAAGGCGACAUUAGAUACUUGAUUGAAGAUCUUCUGGUAUUAAAACCGACUAUAUUCUGUGGAGUUCCACGAGUUUAUGACCGCAUAUACACAGGGGUGAUGGAUAAAAUCGAAGCUGGAGGUACAUUGAAGAAGCUGCUUUUUCAGUUUGCAUACAACUACAAAUUAAGGAAUAUGGAGAAAGGAUUGAGACAAGAUGAAGCAGCUCCGCGCUUUGACAGGCUUGUUUUUGAUAAGAUCAAACUAGCAUUUGGUGGACGAGUACGUCUGAUGCUUUCUGGAGCUGCUCCUUUGCCCAAGCACGUUGAAGAAUUUCUAAGGGUAACAUGUUGCUGUUCUUUAUCACAAGGAUAUGGUAUUGAAAUUUCUUCUUCACUAUUGUUACUUCUUUAUCACCUUUUUAUCUGCUUAUUUUGACAUAUUAUUCUUCAUUGUUAGGGCUUACUGAAAGUUGUGGAGGAUGUCUCACAUCCAUAGCCAAUGUACACUCCAUGACAGGAACUGUUGGUGUUCCAAUGACUACAAUUGAGGCAAGACUUGAGUCAGUGCCAGAAAUGGGAUAUGAUGCUCUUGCAAGCGUGCCUCGUGGAGAAAUUUGUCUGAGGGGAAAAACCUUGUUUUCGGGGUACCAUAAACGAGAAGAUCUUACAAAAUCUGUACUUGUGGAUGGAUGGUUUCAUACAGGUGACAUUGGUGAGUGGCAACCAGACGGAGCAAUGAAAAUCAUUGACCGGAAAAAGAAUAUAUUCAAGCUGUCCCAAGGGGAGUAUGUAGCUGUAGAAAACAUUGAAGGCGUAUACUCCAGAUGCCCUCUUGUUACAUCAAUUUGGAUAUAUGGUAACAGUUUUGAAUCCUUCCUAGUGGCUGUGGUAGUUCCAGAAAGAAAGGCACUUGAAGAGUGGGCCUCGAAUAAUCAAGAAACCGGAGAUUUUUCAUCUCUAUGUAA